GCCUUCGUGGUGAAAGUGAUCAGCACGCUCGACGCAUAACCGAGAGGUCCGUGGUUCGAUUCCCGGCGAAGGCG
rnacentral:tRNA from 1 species